UUUUCUGAAGUUAGACUGGAUAGCAGGGGAGCGGAUCCUCUCCACCGCAAAGAUGUCAGCGGCGAUGUUCACUGAUUUUCCAAACAAUAAUCUGUAGCUAAAACAUGUACACAUAACUCUUUUUAUCUUUUUGACUAAAAUUUUGCGUUUCACAAAACCAACACCGUUUCUUCGCUUUCCUUCCGUCUUUACCCAUUUCACUGGUUUUUUUUUUUUUUUUUUUCUUUUGCUUUACUUCCUCGCCAUUGGUAAAAUUGAGCAAGAAAGACAUGUCGAGCCACAAAAUCCUUCCUCUUCCGUGUUAUCUCUUAUUUACAAUGGUUUUUUUUUUUUUUUUGUUAAUUUCUUCUCCAAAUCUAUGGUAUUGGUCUUUCUCUUUGUUUCUAUAACAGACUUCCCAUAACCUUUUUUCGUUCAAUACCCAGCUACUUGAUUCUAACUAUUAAGCAAGUUGGCAGCAAUUUUUUUCUUUUUUUUUGGCUGAAAGUUGGUAGUAAUUUGAUUUGAAAAGCAGAUUCUUGUACUUGCUUUUGGAUGACUUCAGCUUAAGAAGCGAAGAAACGGUAUUAGUAAAGUGAACCGCAUAGUUUGGUGAAAAAAAGGGAAGUGAUGUGGAUUAUUUUUAACCAUAGAUUAUUAUUUGAAUAUCAGUGGAGAUCUCCACUUAUUUCAUUGCAGUGGAGAGGAUCCUCUCCCGGAUAGCAGACUAGCAGAGAAACCACCAUCUCCCAAUAUCGUUUGAGAGGUCUAUGGCGGGAACCAUCCGAUCCCUAAUUUUGACGCCUCCGUGCACCGUCACGGCGCCAUUUUCUCGGCGGCAAACUUUCCCUCUCAUCAGCCGCUCCCUCAGAAUCAAUCCUAGCCGUUCCAUUUCAGCACUUGUCAGAUGCUGUAAACUGUCGGAUGAGACAAAUGGUUCAGGUUUGGCUAAUGGCUUAAAUUGGACAAAACCUUUGCUGAAUUUUGCCGCCGACAAUUUUCUUCCUUUAGGUUUGACUCUGCGCAAUGAUGCAAUUGGUGCUGCUGCCAAAGCAUGGCCUAUAGGACUUUUUGGGCUAUGCUCCAUCCUAUUGUUUACUCCAUACUUUUCAAGGCUAAUACUGCAAAUUCAGCUUCAACCUCCUGAGUUUGUUACAGAUUCCAUUUUCCAUCUCAAAAUUCAUAGCUGAUGGAGUUGGUGUGUCUGUUCCAACUGAACAACUACUUAGAAGUCUUGUUCUUAGACAUUUGGUUCCUCUGAUAUUGGGGAAGGUUUUAUGAGAAUCCUUCAGAGGAUUGGCAGAUUUCGUUGACCAUAACCGUAAGCUAUUUUCAAAGAUCAGUGCAGUCUUCGUCAGCUUAGUAAGGCCUAAAUUUUGGAUCUUUUUAGUUUUAUUUUACGUAUAAUAAUAUUGUAACAUCAAGUAAUUUUAACUUUUGCUUUUAACAUGUUGAAACAAUUUCUCUCUUUCCAUUUGAAGUUUAUGUUGGCAGUUCAGAAGUUUUCUUCCAUUCAAGUUUCAACUUUUCAUUCCAUUCACUCUGCUGAAAUUUGGAACAUUGGAUCUUUUAAUUUAUUUCAGCGAAUAGCUUAAAAAUAGUCAAGUUCAGCAAUUACACUUGACAUGCAUGUUUCUAGGCCUACUAUGGUUUCAGAUAAAACUGCUUGUUUCUUUGUUAUGGCCCUUGCCCUGACUAUAAAUAAAUGAUUCAGCACAGGAUGCCAUAGCAGGUGAGAUACCAAACAAAUUGGACUGCAAUAUGUCUGUUUUAAAUUGAAUGGUACCCUGAGCUUUCCUUGAUUGUGCUAUCUCGCAUAGAUAUAAUGCCAUGGCUAUCCUUUUUCUACCUGUAUAAGAACCCUGUUUAUUAGUUAAAUUCUUUUAUAAAAAUACUUAUUGACCCAACUUUAUACUGAUUUUGACUAGUUGUGGCACUAUGGAGACUGCCCAUCAAUUUGGGGAUUGUAUCUUAAAUGCAGUAAUAGGUUUCGAUAUCACUUAUUCAACAGUCUCUAGCAGCCAAUUCUCACGUCUUGCUUCUAAGCUUUAUUUAUUUGGCUCUAUUUCUUUACUUCCUGUCCUCCUACCUAUCAAGCCCCUCUUUCCCUUUCUUAGGUCCUUACAUGCUUUUAUGGAACCUAUAGUUUUUUUUUUUUUUUUUGUUCUUUUCUCUUUUUUCUCACUUAUUCAUUCUUAAUCUUUAAACCAUUACCAUGUUCAUUUAAGUUCUUAAGAGUUAAUUUGUCCACUACUAUAUGUUCUAACAUUUAGAGAGUAAUGUCAGAAUAAUAUUUAAAUUUAUAGAUAAGGCCAGAAUCCUGCUGAGGGGUUUAGGGAAGACGAGCUAGAUUCUGUGACAGAAUGGAAGGAAGCUAAUUGAGUGUUUAAACUAUUUAAGAAUUUGUUUCCUUAUUUUUGAAUCAUACAAGUGGCUUAAUUGUAAUUCUCUAUAGCGAUUUAUGGUUUUUAGAUUAUUUAGGCUAUUUUAUAUUAAUUCAUGUUUUGCUUAUUUUCCACGUAUUAGGCUUUAGGAUUAUAUUUUGUAUUUUGCAUUUUUAUCAAUGUUUUGAGGUUUAGCUUAUUAGUACCUAUGUUCAAAGUGCUAAAAGUAAGCCGUGUGAGAAACCAUGUUGUGCCUUCAAUAUGAUACAUUCAUGAACUUUUAACCAGUUUGAAUGCUUUUCA